rnacentral:rRNA from 1 species
UAAAGGAAUUGGCGGGGGAGCACCACAAGGGGUGAAGCCUGCGGUUCAAUUGGAGUCAACGCCAUGAAAUCUUACCCGGAGAGACAGCAGAAUGAAGGUCAAGCUGAAGACUUUACCAGACAAGCUGAGAGGUGGUGCAUGGCCGUCGCCAGCUCGUGCCGUGAGAUGUCCUGUUAAGUCAGGUAACGAGCGAGAUCCUCGCCACUAGUUGCUAUCAUUAUUCUCAGGAAUAGUGGGGCGAAUUAGUGGGACUGCCGUUGUUAAAACGGAGGAAGGAGGGGGCUACGGCAGGUCAGUAUGCCCCGAAACUCUGGGGCCACACGCGGGCUGCAAUGGUAGCGACAAUGAGCUCCAAACUCGAAAGAGAGUGGCAAUCUCUAAACGCUACCACAGUUAUGACUGAGGGCUGUAACUCGCCCUCACGAAUAUGGAAUCCCUAGUAACCAGCGUGUCAUUACCGCGCGGUGAAUACGUCCCUGCUCCUUGCACACACCGCCA